AUGUGUUUUUUUCUUUUGAGAAGGAGUCUCAAUCUGUCACCCAGGUUGGAAUGGAGUGACAUGAACUCAGCUCACUGCAACCUCUGCCUCACGGGUUCAAGCAAUUUUCCUGCUUCAGCCUCCCAAGUAGCUGAGACUACAGGGUCACCUUCCUACUCCUUCCACUGUCUUCACAGCAUUCUAAAACUGAUCAUUCUGCCUCCCUCUUUAUCUUUUAAAGGGACAUGGAUGAACCUGGAAACCAUCAUUCUCAGCAAACUGACACAAGAACAGAAAAUCAAACACAGCAUGUUCUCACUCAUAGAUGGGUGUUGAACAAUGAGAACACAUGAACACAGUGAGAAAACAGAUUAAUAAUCAUAACAGCAAUCAUAGAUCCUCUACAUUUUAGGGCUGCCAAUCUAUCAGCAACUUCCUUAAGUACCUUGGAGCCUAACUACCUACUCCUACAUUUUUUCCUUAAGGAGUUGAAACCCAGAAAUCUUUUGGGAAAUAGGGCAAAGACCAUUCUUCUGUAACUACUUCCUGCUGAAAAGGGGCAUCAAGGGCCCUCUGGGUCCCUCCUCCUUGCUGGCUGUCUAAAGGCCUUUCUAGGUUCUGUUUUAUUCUCUCUCAAUUAUGUUUAGUCUCACACUUUUUAGAGUUACUAAAGUUGACCUAAAACUCUCCCACCACAAAAGAUAUGGGGAGUUGGGGGGUUUAAUACAGUUCUGAAUCUAAAAACUUUCAUUUCUUGUAAACGAAUGAAUAAGAAUUAGGGCCUGAUUUUCUAUUAUAUUUUCCUUCCCAGACUUUUAUUGGUUUUAGGGCUGUAGAUAUUUUUCAAAUUUUUUGUUGUUGUUGUUUGUUUUGUUUUAUUCAGCUCUUAACUUUGGCCAUACUACUUUUGGUCAUGGCUCUAUUAAUCCCCCAUUUCUCUGCACAAUAGAGUUGUUCAUCUCAGUAUGUAUAAAUUCUAAAUAAUUAUAGUUCUUAAUCUGCCAUCUGAAUUCCAUGUUACCUACAAGAGGACUGACCAGUGCAAUCAUUGCUAAGUAUCCCCUUAGGGGACCAAUAAUCAAUAAUAAUUCCAUAGAAAUUGUUGCGCAGCACCUCAGCCUCUAUCACUACACAAACUUCCUAGGUUAAUGUUCUUAACUUAGGGGACCAUUCUUUAUUUGCAUUCAGACUUUGAUGACCAAAACAUUGUUGCUUUAUUUCCUAAAUUAUUAUGAAAAAUAUUAAGGCCAGAGAUUACUAAAGGAAGGAAAGAAUAUAUGCCCAAUGUGUGAAAUUUCCUUUUACUUCCAUCCCCACUCCAGAAAUACUCACUUUAUUGUGGUAACCAUCAUUAUGAUUACCAUAAUACGCUGCCCUGCUUUCUUCAGCUUUUCCUCCACUAUUUGUGAAAGCUUUUUUAAUUUGACCCCAAGUCGGUGGUGAUGUUUGGCGUGUUCCCCUUGUGGGAAUAGCACUCCCGCUCCAUGUUAGUCUCGCCAUCUCUGCAACUGCGGGAUCCUCUACAAGUCUCUUCUUUGGUAUCUGGCUCACAGUACAGCUUUGAAUUUCUGGAUGGUACGUACCCACACCGAUUGUUGAUUUAGAUAAUAUAAAUCAUAUUUUAGGCUUAAAAGAAAAAAUCCAUAUAAUCAUUAGAACCUAUACUAAAAAUAAGUAUGAAACAAAUAAAUAUACCUAUUUUAAAAUGCUAAAACAAUUUAUUCAAUGAUAUUGCCUUAAUAGAAAAAAAUUGGCAAACAAGUCAGAAUCUGGUAAUUCUCACUGGGGAUAAAGCAGAAACAUUAUUAAAAUGAAAACAAAAGAGAUAUAGUCAUUACAAUUGAUUUUUUUUGGGUGCAGCCAAUGCACAUGGAUAAAAAUUUGUAUUUUUUUAAUUUAGAUUUUCAAUGUUCACAUUUUAUUAUUUGUACACCUAAAACACAAAUAAAACAAAUGAAUGAAAACUGAGAAUACUGAAAAUAAGGUAUAAAAUCAACUGCUACCUGUUACACAAAAAUAUAAGAAAUAUAACCUAUGCAAAUAAAAGAUAAGAAAAAAUUGAAAUUUUGGAUUAAUAAAAAUAACAAAGCAAUAAGACUAAAAUAUAUCAAAUUUAUAUAGAGUUUUCAAGAUGUACUGUUACAUUAAAAAUAUUGAAAUGAGGCCUAUUUUGGGAGGGAAGUUUAAAUAUUAUGAAUAUGCUAUUUUCUAUUUUCUACUUCUGCGCCAUUAUAAUAUAAAAAUAUUUUAACAUAAAACUUGGAAAAAUAACAAACUAUUUUUUGAACUCAUCUGUAAAACUUUCUAGGCAAAGACCCUUUACUAAUCUG
rnacentral:lncRNA from 1 species